CAGUCGCCGCGGUAAUACGAAGGGUGCGAGCGUUAAUCGGAAUUACUGGGCGUAAAGCGUGCGCAGGCGGUUGUGUAAGACAGGUGUGAAAUCCCCGGGCUUAACCUGGGAACUGCGCUUGUGACUGCACAGCUAGAGUAUGGCAGAGGGGGGUGGAAUUCCACGUGUAGCAGUGAAAUGCGUAGAGAUGUGGAGAAACACCGAUGGCGAAGGCAGCCCCCUGGGCCAAUACUGACGCUCAUGCACGAAAGCGUGGGGAGCAAACAGGAUUAGAUACCCCUGUAGUCCCUGUCUCUUAUAC
rnacentral:rRNA from 1 species